rnacentral:rRNA from 1 species
CUAAUACAUGCAAGUCGAACGCUUUGUGGUUCACUGAUUUGAAGAGCUUGCUCAGAUAUGACGAUGGACAUUGCAAAGAGUGGCGAACGGGUGAGUAACACGUGGGAAACCUACCUCUUAGCAGGGGAUAACAUUUGGAAACAGAUGCUAAUACCGUAUAACAAUGACAACCGCAUGGUUGUUAUUUAAAAGAUGGUUCUGCUAUCACUAAGAGAUGGUCCCGCGGUGCAUUAGCUAGUUGGUAAGGUAAUGGCUUACCAAGGCGAUGAUGCAUAGCCGAGUUGAGAGACUGAUCGGCCACAAUGGGACUGAAACACGGCCCAUACUCCUACGGGAGGCAGCAAAUACC